GACCCGGUAGCUCAGUUGGUAGAGCAUAGAAUGUCUUGUGGUGUAAUUUCCUUCCUUGGACAGGUCAAGCAGCACAUACUUCUUCUAGUGUCAGCGGUUCGAUUCCGCUCCGGGUCU
rnacentral:tRNA from 1 species